rnacentral:ncRNA from 1 species
GUGAAUGCGUUGAAAGGAAUUAGUAGCGGUUUUCUCCCUGUUUAAGAGAGCUGAUGGUUGGUGCAAAUCAGUGCAAAGAAAGCAGUGAAUUACGUCCUCGAGCAUCUUUUGUGAAUAGAUAAUUAGUAGCAAAAGACGGGCAAACCGUUAUAUUCGUUAAGUGGAAGCAUCAUGUUAUACAUAGGUGCUUCAAUUAGGGUGGUACCGCGAUUUUUUCGUCCCUUCU